AGAGUUUGAUCCUGGCUNNNANNGAACGCUGGCGGCAGGCCUAACACAUGCAAGUCGAGCGGCAGCGCGGGGCAACCUGGCGGCGAGCGGCGGACGGGUGAGGAAUUCGUCGGAAUCUGCCUUUUUGUGGGGGAUAACGUAGGGAAACUUACGCUAAUACCGCAUACGACCUACGGGUGAAAGUGGGGGACCUUCGGGCCUCACGCAGAAAGAUGAGCCGACGACCGAUUAGCUAGUUGGUGGGGUAAAGGCCCACCAAGGCGACGAUCGGUAGCUGGUCUGAGAGGAUGAUCAGCCACACUGGGACUGAGACACGGCCCAGACUCCUACGGGAGGCAGCAGUGGGGAAUAUUGGACAAUGGGCGCAAGCCUGAUCCAGCCAUGCCGCGUGUGUGAAGAAGGCCUUCGGGUUGUAAAGCACUUUUGUCCGGAAAGAAAUCUUCCAGUUUAAUACGCUGGGAGGAUGACGGUACCGGAAGAAUAAGCACCGGCUAACUUCGUGCCAGCAGCCGCGGUAAUAC
rnacentral:rRNA from 1 species